AGGUUUGAUCCUGGCUUAGGAUGAACGCUAGCUACAGGCUUAACACAUGCAAGUCGAGGGGCAGCAUAACGAAAGCUUGCUUUGUUGAUGGCGACCGGCGCACGGGUGAGUAACGCGUAUCCAACCUUCCCUGUAGUAGAGAAUAGCCCGGCGAAAGUCGGAUUAAUGCUCUAUGUUGUAUUUCGAUGACAUCUGAAGAAUACCAAAGGUUUACCGCUAUAGGAUGGGGGAUGCGUCUGAUUAGGUUGUUGGCGGGGUAACGGCCCACCAAGCCCACGAUCAGUAGGGUUCUGAGAGGAAGGUCCCCCACAUUGGAACUGAGACACGGUCCAAACUCCUACGGGAGGCAGCAGUGAGGAAUAUUGGUCAAUGGACAGAAGUCUGAACCAGCCAAGUAGCGUGCAGGAUGACGGCCCUAUGGGUUGUAAACUGCUUUUAUAUGGGGAUAAAGUGAGGGACGUGUCCCUUUUUGUAGGUACCAUAUGAAUAAGGACCGGCUAAUUCCGUGCCAGCAGCGGC
rnacentral:rRNA from 1 species